CUGCUCGCUCCGGCAGCAAGUAUACUGAAAUUGGAACAAUACGAAGAAGAUUAGCAUGUGAAAGGAUGACCCACAAAUUCGCGAAGUGUUCCAUAUUUUC
rnacentral:snRNA from 1 species